rnacentral:piRNA from 1 species
UUCUGUCCUUUCCCACGAGCCUGA